GACGUAGGGCGCGAGCGUUGUCCGGAUUUAUUGGGCGUAAAGAGCUCGUAGGCGGCUUGUCGCGUCGACUGUGAAAACCCGCGGCUCAACUGUGGGCUUGCAGUCGAUACGGGCAAGCUGGAGUUCGGUAGGGGAGACUGGAAUUCCUGGUGUAGCGGUGAAAUGCGCAGAUAUCAGGAGGAACACCGGUGGCGAAGGCGGGUCUCUGGGCCGAUACUGACGCUGAGGAGCGAAAGCGUGGGGAGCGAACAGG
rnacentral:rRNA from 1 species